GAAAAGAAAACCAAGUUACCGCUUCCUGUAACUACCAGCUGUUGAGUUAAGUAAGCUUUUGUGCGUAUAUUCUCCCUAAUCACCUUGUCUAAAGUAAGACAAUGACACAAAAAUGGCUUUGGACAUCUAAGAGAAUUGCUCAUACCCAAACAAACCAUAAGAUGUAAAAAUCAACUGUGGAACCAAACCAAGAUUGGAUCAAAGAGCUGAUUGACUGUAGGCCUCCACGUCUGCCACCUAAACAGCCACCGAACUUCAUCAUCCUGGCUAGAUCCCAAAGGAUGAGCCUACUCUCCAGUGGUGCCCACCAGUCUGAUGAAACCACUGCUUGCCCGUGAGACAUUAUGUGGGUUAUAAAGAUGGUCGAAGGAAUGUUUCCACUGAGGUCUGCUCUCCAUGACCACCAAGACAGAAGCAAGCCCUGCCAACCUUCCCAGGCGGUCUCUUUGGACUAGACCUUGACACUUCCUGGGUUUAUGGCCAAUUAUAUUUUAUUGAGGCUGUGAACAAACACGAAUAAACCCUUCAGUGCCCGUUAACUCGUGGAAAUAAAGUUAAAUAUCAUCCUAACGCAGAUGUUCAGGAAGGAGAAUUUGAAGACAUAUCCUGUGGGAUAUUCUAUCUGUUCCCUGAAGUGCAUGAAAGCAAAGAAGGCCAUUGAUCCCACACAGAGGUACCAAUGGCAAGGAUGCUGAGAAUUUACCAAAUAAAUCCAUAUUUUGUUUUUAUUUCAUGGGUUCCGACUUUGUAAGCGUCGUGACCCAUAAGAUAUGGCUUACGUGCAUUGAUUCAUUCAUCAAACCUUUUACUGAGUAUCUAUUUCUAGAAGAAUCCAGCUCCCAUAAUUUUGAAUUCAGUUCCUUAGCUGUUCUCGCA